ACAGAGGGUGCGAGCGUUAAUCGGAAUUACUGGGCGUAAAGCGCGCGUAGGCGGCUUGUUAAGUCAAAUGUGAAAUCCCCGAGCUUAACUUGGGCAUUGCAUUCGAUACUGGCAAGCUAGAGUAUGGGAGAGGAAGGUAGAAUUCCAGGUGUAGCGGUGAAAUGCGUAGAGAUCUGGAGGAAUACCGAUGGCGAAGGCAGCCUUCUGGCCUAAUACUGACGCUGAGGUGCGAAAGCAUGGGGAGCAAACAGG
rnacentral:rRNA from 1 species